GGGGGUGACCUGGUUUCGACAAAGCGGCCAGUACCCGGAGACACACCACGUCAGGCGACCGACGUAAACAGCGCGAAAUCCUGAUUGCAAAUGAAUCGCAAUUUAUUGCUUACGGUACCUGAUUACCGCUAGCCGAGUUGCCGGCCCCUUCUCGCGAAGGCUUGGGAACAGAAAGGCCGGCCCGAUUUCCGAUUGCUGCGAGAGCAAACGUCGAGCGUGAAGUGAGUCCUUCGGGAGGGCUUGUA
rnacentral:tmRNA from 1 species